UACGUAGGAGGCAAGCGUUGUCCGGAGUUACUGGGCGUAAAGCGUGCGCAGGCGGUUGUGUAAGACAGAUGUGAAAAUCCCCCGGGGCUCAACCUGGGGAACUGCAUUUUGUGACUGCACAGCUGGAGUGCGGCAGAGGGGGGGAUGGGAAUUCCGCGUGUAGCAGUGAAAUGCGUAGAUAUGCGGAGGAACACCGAUGGCGAGGCAAUCCCCCUGGGCUCACUGA
rnacentral:rRNA from 1 species